rnacentral:rRNA from 1 species
AUUGAACGCUGGCGGCAGGCUUAACACAUGCAAGUCGAGCGGAGAUGAGGUGCUUGCACCUUAUCUUAGCGGCGGACGGGUGAGUAAUGCUUAGGAAUCUGCCUAUUAGUGGGGGACAACAUUCCGAAAGGGAUGCUAAUACCGCAUACGUCCUACGGGAGAAAGCAGGGGAUCUUCGGACCUUGCGCUAAUAGAUGAGCCUAAGUCGGAUUAGCUAGUUGGUGGGGUAAAGGCCUACCAAGGCGACGAUCUGUAGCGGGUCUGAGAGGAUGAACCGCCACACUGGGGCUGAGACACGGCCCAGACGCCUACGGGAGGCAGCCGUGGGGAAGAUUGGACAAUGGGGGGAACCCUGAUCCAGCCAUGCCGCGUGUGUGAAGAAGGCCUUAUGGUUUUAAAGCACUUUAAGCGAGGAGGAGGCUACUGAGACUAAUACUCUUGGAUAGUGGACGUUACUCGCAGAAUAAGCACCGGCUAACUCUGUGCCAGCAGCCGCCGUAAAAC